GUCAUACUCACCGCUGUGAAAACUUCAAAUCUUACAUAGUUUGGUUAUAUUUAACAAUGUGAAGGAAGCGUCUUUAUGUCGGUCGGAAAAGCACAUAUGCUGGCAUCAACAUUCAAGUCUACCACAUGUCUCAGAAGUCAUCUAAAUAAAAAGAAUACCCCAACAUACCUGAUAAUAAGUCCACUUGGACAAUAUGUGAUGGUGACGACAAGUCUUCAUCAUUCACUGUACCUAUAAAAUUAUCUGCAUUCUGUGCUGCUACUUGAAGAAUUAAUGUGGAUGGAUCAACUA